GCACCUUAUGUUGAAUUGGUUCAGCAGUGGCAUUCGGAGCCAUGUUUAUUGGUUCGAGUCCAAUAGGGUGUU
rnacentral:tRNA from 1 species